rnacentral:rRNA from 1 species
UUGAACGCUGGCGGCGGCCUAACACAUGCAAGUCGGGCGGAGCGGCGGACGGGUGAGUAACGCGUGAGCAACCUGCCUCUGACAGUGGGAUAGCCUCGGGAAACCGGGAUUAAUACCGCAUAGUCAUAGAUGGGCUCGCGUCUGAUUAGCUAGUUGGUGAGAUAACAGCCCAACAAGGCGACGAUCAGUAGCCGGUCUGAGAGGAUGAACGGCCACAUUGGAACUGAGACACGGUCCAAACUCCUACGGGAGGCAGCAGUGGGGAAUAUUGCACAAUGGGGGAAACCCUGAUGCAGCGACGCCGCGUGAACGAAGAAGGUAUUCGUAUCGUAAAGUUCUGUCCUAUGGGAAGCAGUACCAUAGAAGAAAGCUCCGGCUAAAUACGUGCCAGCCGCCGCGGUAAUUC